AGAGAGAAGAAUCAGAUUACAUAUAGGGGGAGACCAAUUUGGAUCUCAGCUGAUUUUUCAGUCCAGACCCUCAGGGCAAGGAGAUCCUGUAACAACAUACCAAGCUCUGAAAGAAAAUGGAUGCCGACCAAGAAUCUUAUAUCCAGCGAAAUUAUGCUUCAUAUUAAAUAAAAACCUUCCAUGAUAAACAAAAAUUAAAAGAAUUUACAGCAAGAAAGCCUGCACUACAGAAUAUUCUUUUCAAAAUAUUCCAUGAGAAGGAAAUGGAAAACAACAAUGACUAUCUGCAAAGUGAGGAACUACACUAAAGGAAAGGCCAAAUGAAAGAGAAACUAAGUCAAAUUAAAAACCAAAAAUAGGGGCUAGGGGUGUGGCUCAGUGGUAGAGUGCAAGGCCCUGGGGUUGAUCCUCAGCACCACAUAAAAAUAAGUAAAUAAAAUAAAGGCAUCAUGUCCAACUACACCUUAAAAAUAUUUAUUUUUUAAAAACCCCCAAAUAAACCAAAAUGACUGGGAAUAUAAAACAUAUUUUAAUAAUAACCCUGAAUGUGAAUGGCCUAAACUCAAUAAUUAAAAGAUAUAGACUGGCAGAUUGGAUUUUAAAAAAAGACCCAACAAUUUGCUGCCUUCAAGAGACUCAUUUCACAGGAAAAGACAUCCACAGACUGAAGGUGAAAGGUUGGGAAAAAAAUAUCACUUACAUGGAUUGAGGAAACAAGCAGGGGUUUCCAUCCUUAUAUCAGAUAAAGUGGACUUCAAACCAAAGUUAGCAAAAAGGGAUAAAGGAGCACAUUUCAUACUACUCAAGGGAAUCAUACAUCAACAAGACAUAACAGUCGGGUGCAGUAGCGCAUACCUGUAAUCCCAGCAGCUCGGGAGGCUAUGACAGGAGGAUCGCAAGUUCAAAACCCUGUCUCUAAAUGAAAUACAAAAUAGGGCUGGGAUAUGGCUCAGUGGUCAAGUAUCCCUGAGUUCAAUAUCCCUGGUAACAAAAAACAAAGAACAACAACAACAACAAAAACAAGACAUAACAAUUGUAAAUAUCUAUGCCCCAAACAUAGGAGCAUUUAUGUAUAUCAACCAAACAUUUCUCAACUUCAAGAAUCAAAUAGACCACAACACAAUAAUAUUAGGUGACAUUAAUACACUCUCUCACCACUGGAUAGUUCUUCCAAACAAAAACUAAACAAAGAAACUAUCAAACUCAAUAAAACAAAUAACAGUUUAGACUUAAUACACAUAUAUAGAAUAGUCCUUCCAUGAACAAAUGAAUAUACUUUUUUCUCAGCAGCACAUGGAUCCUUCUCCAAAAUAGACCAUAUGUUAUGCCACAAAGCAAGUCUCGGCAAAUACAAAAAUAGAGAUAUGAACCUGUGUUCUAUCUAACCGUAACAGAAUGAAAUUAGAUAUCAAUGAUAAAAUAAAAAAUAAAAGCUACUCCAGCAUCUGAAGACUAAAUAAUACGCCACUGAAUGGCACCUGGGUAACAGAUGACAUCAGAGAGAAGAUAAAAAAAAUUCCUAGAAGUAAAUGAGAACUCUGAUACAACAUCAAAAUCUCUGGUAUACUAUGAAAGCAGUGCUAAGAGGAAAGUUCAUUGCAUUAAGCUUACUCAUUAACAGAAGAAAAAGUCAAUAAAAACGAAUUGACAUUACAUUUCAAAGCCCUAGAAAAAGAACAAAUCAACACCAAAAGUAGAAGAAAACAGAGAAUAAUUAAAAUCAGGGCUGAAAUCAAUGAAGUUGAAACAAAGUAAUUCAAAAAAAUAACAAAACAAAAGCUGGUUCUUUGAAAAAAUAAAAUUGGCAAACCCUUAGCCACCCUAAUGAAAAGGAGAAAACUCAAAUUACUAAAAUUCAUGAUGAAAAAGGAAAUAUCAUGACAGACACUAUUGAAAUACAGAAGACAAUUAGAAACUAUUUUGAAAAUUUAUACUCCAGUAAAAUAGAAAACCUCGAAGACACAAAUUUCUAGAGGCAUAUGAUCUACCCAAACUGAACAAAGAAGACAUACACAAUUUAAAAAGAUCAAUUUCAAGCAAGGAAGUAGAAGACGCCAUCAAAAGCCUACCAACAAAGACAAGCAGGGGACCAGAUGAAUUCUCAGUCAAGUUCUACAAGAUCUACAAAGAAUUAAUACCAAUACUCAAAUUAUUCCAUGAAAUAGAAAAGGAGGGAACUCUUCCAAACUCAUACUAUGAGGCUAGUAUCAUCCUGAUACCAAAACCAGACAGAGACACAUCAAGGAAAGAAAAUUUCAGACAAUAUCCCUGAUGAACACAGUUGUAAAAAUUAUCCAGAAAAUUCUGGCAAAUUGCAUAUGAAGACAUAUUUAAAAAAUUGUGUACCAUGAUCAAGUGUGGUUCAUUCCAGGGAUGCAAGGUUGGUUCGACAUACAGAAAUCAAUAAAUGUAAUUCAUCAUAUAAUAGACUUAAAGAAAAGAAUCAUAUGAUUAUAUCAACUGAUGCAGAGAAAGCAUUUGACAAAGUGCAGCACCCUUUCAUGUUCAAAACACUAGAAAACUAGGAAUAGUAGGAACAUACCUCAACAUUGUAAAAGCUAUCUAUGAUAAACCCAAGGUUAACGUCAUUCUAAAUGGAGAAAAAUUGGAAGCAUUCCCACUAAAAACUGGAACAAGACAAGGAUGGCCUCUUUCACCACUUCUAUUCAACAUAGUUCUUGAAACUCUAGCCAGAGCCAUUGGACAGACGAAAGAAAUUAAAGGGAUACAAAUAGGAAAAGAAAAACUCAAACUAUCAUUAUUUGCUGAUGACAUGAUUCUAUACUUACAGGAUCCAAAAAAUUCCACCAGAAUUUAGAAUUAAUAAAUGAAUUCAGCAAAGUAGCAGGCUAUAAAAAUCAAUACCCAUAAAUCAAAUGCAUUUCUAAAUAUCAAUGAUGAAUCCUCUGAAAGAGAAAUUAGGAAAACUAUCUCAUUCACAAUAGCCUCAAAAACA
rnacentral:lncRNA from 1 species